rnacentral:rRNA from 1 species
CCUACGGGAGGCAGCAGUGGGGAAUUUUGGACAAUGGGCGAAAGCCUGAUCCAGCAAUGCCGCGUGCAGGAAGAAGGCCUUCGGGUUGUAAACUGCUUUUGUACGGAACGAAACGGUCUGCUUUAAUACAGUGGGCUAAUGACGGUACCGUAAGAAUAAGCACCGGCUAACUACGUGCCAGCAGCCGCGGUAAUACGUAGGGUGCGAGCGUUAAUCGGAAUUACUGGGCGUAAAGCGUGCGCAGGCGGUUAUAUAAGACAGUUGUGAAAUCCCCGGGCUCAACCUGGGAAUUGCAUCUGUGACUGUAUAGCUAGAGUACGGUAGAGGGGGAGGGAAUUCCGCGUGUAGCAGUGAAAUGCGUAGAUAUGCGGAGGAACACCGAUGGCGAAGGCAAUCCCCUGGACCUGUACUGACGCUCAUGCACGAAAGCGUGGGGAGCAAACAGGAUUAGAUACCCUGGUAGUCCACGCCCUAAACGAUGUCAACUGGUUGUUGGGUGCAUUAGUACUCAGUAACGAAGCUAACGCGUGAAGUUGACCGCCUGGGGAGUACGGCCGCAAGGUUGAAACUUAAUGAAUUGACGG